GCUGGCACCAGCUUCUGCUUGGCAGGGUAAAAAAAAUGUGAGUGAACCAUUUAAAAAGAGCUCACAGCAGGGUGGUGUUGGGGUGACAACUGCUUCGGCCUGAAUGCCAAGGAUGGUGGUAAAUAUCCAUAAGCCUUAAGAAUGGAGGGCUUAAGGGAAAAACAUGCCAAGAGGAAGGCGCAUCAAACCAAUCCUGACCGGGACCACUUUCCACCUGGAAGCCGAUGUCCUCACUGCAGGAGAACAUGCGGAUCAAGAAUAGGACUCUUCAGCCACCUACGGACACACCCCCAAAACACCAGAAAUGGAGGACCAUCAUCCUCGACCUACGAGGGCUAGCCUAAGUUGGCAGAAGCUGGGGCUAACAGCAGGAGCUCACCCCGCUCCCUGGAUUCGAACCACCAGCCUUUCAGUCAGCAAGUUCAGCAACUCAGUGGUUUUAUCCGCCGCACCACCGGGUAGGUCAUUCACCAUGGUCAACAAAGCUGUCUCUAUUCCAUAACCAGGCUGAAAGAUUAAAAUUGAGCUAAUCCAUUUCAACCAUGAUUUUCUAAAAUUGAGAGCCAACCAUAUAUUCUAUUACCUUGCCAAAAAAAAUAGAAUAUUGGACAUUGGUCAAUUUUGAUGGCUUUUAAAUGUUCAUACAAAGUAUUGGCUGUGGCUUGGUCUUGAAUAGGCAAUUAAGACCUAUUAACUUUACAAAGAAUCUGUUCCUCCUUGGAAAGAAGUUGCCAUAUAUUGAAGACACUUCAAAAGAUCAAAGUUAGACUGAUAAUUUUUUUUUUAUGUUUCCACCUUUUAAACUGCACGUUCUCAUAUCCAUUUAGCAUGGGGAGAGGCAAAGUUUCCUCUCCCAAAUGCUAGCAGACUGCUACUCCCAGGACUUCUCAUCACCAGCUAUGCUGACAAGAACAGCUGAAAACUACAGUCCAACAACAUCUGGAGGACCACGUUUAGCCCAUCCCUGCAACAGCUGCAAUCUGUCUAUUCCUAUAUGGCAGGGGCUGGGCUAAGUGGCCCUUGCAGUCUCCUCCAACUCAAUGACUAAAUAAUGCUACAACACACCCCAAUUCAGAAGAGAGAAGAGGAAAGAAAAUCUUUGCUUUGUGCAUGGACCAGGGUGUUGCUCACUGUGAGAAGCAAAGUUCGAAAACGAAGUGGCUACGUAAGAGAGCGUCAUUCCAAACACACUGCGAAAGUGAGAUGCACUGUUGAGAGCAUUCAGGCAGCCUUUGGAUCCAAGAGGAGAGGGCUGUUCCUGACAGAUUGUUUCCUAAGCUCUGUCCAACCUAGGCUGAAGUAAGCCAAGCAAAAAGGUUUCCACCCAUCCCAGGAGGGAACCAUUUUGCAGCCAAAGUCCACUUGGAAUAGCAGGGGUUUUUGAUUUAGAAAAAGUCAUGACGUUCAUUCUAUCAAAAUGGUUUUGCAACAAGAACCACUCCCUACAUAUCAAAUGCCCGGAACAACAACAAUAGCAACAACAACAACACAACAACAACAAUUUUUCAUAGUACUCUCACUCUACUUCAGUGUGCUUUAAAAAAAAGGUAAAGGUUUCCCCUGGUGUGUGCUUUAGUGUCCUGCAAAGCCUCACAGAGUUCUUAUAAGACUCAUCAAAGCAUCAGUGUUUUCAGGUCAUGGCUCCACAGAUGUUGUAAGAGCAAGGCUUCCAUGAAAGGAUUGCUCAAAGGUAAAGGUUUUCCCCUGGCAUUAAGUCUAGUCAUGUCCAACUCUGGGGGUUGGUGCUCAUCUCCAUUUCUUAGCCCAAGAGCCAGUGUUGUCCAUAGACACCUCCAAGGUCAUGUGGCCUGCAUGACUGCAUGGAGCGCCAUUACCUUCCCGCCAGAACAGUACCUAUUGAUCUAUUCACAUUUGCAUGUUUUUGAACUGUUAGGUUGGCAGAAGCUGGAAGUUCACUCCACUCCCCGGAUUCGAACCACCGACCUUUCGGACAGCAAGUUCAGUGGUUUAACUUGCUGCACUUCUGGGGACUCUGAGGAUUGCCUGAAGAGGACAUAUUUGAUCUUUCCUUGUGCAUAACGUCAGAGCAGAGCUUGGGGGCUAGGUCCUACCAUUUUUGAACCACAACAUCUACAACUGGUUAUGGGAUGCUAGGAGUUGUAGUCAAAAUGCCAGGCUCUGGCUAGGACAGUGUAGUCUUAGGAUGGACCAGAUAAGCUGCUCAAUUGUGUCCUGCAUGGCCAAAAAUUAAACUAGGUGACCCUUUUAGUCCUUAUGAAUUCUAUAGUUCUAGUCAGGCCUGGGCUACCACUAGUCACAGUGAAGUGAUUAUGUCAUGGUAGAUCCUGGGAUGCAUCUCAGCCAUUACUCAUAAACAAGUUGCUCCUGACAUGAAAAAAAAACAACGUUUUGGGCACUCCCAUUUUAUUGAUCACCCCCAAAAUGGCCCAAGCCUCUACACAGUAGGGCUGGGAAAACGUUUGUAGAUACCUGAAAAACAUAUUUGUUGAAUGUUCGGAAUUCUUCAUGAAGACAAACCUGCAAUGACAAAAAUCUUCACAGCUUGGGAUAUAUUCUGUGCAAACUCCACAUAUGGGCUGUUGUGGGGGUUUUACACAGAAUGCAGCAUUUUCUGCACAGGAAACAAUUAUGUGCAGAAAAUGCUAUUUUUGCACACGCAAACGUGUUUGCACAGAAUUAAGCCUCAAAUUCAGAACCAUCCUUGGAAACCACGCAUUUUCUUGCAGGAGGGAAAAGAAAGUUAGUAAAAUUACCCACUGCUUCUUCAAGAACAAAAUAAGCAAAUAAAAUGCAUCCCUGCCGCAAAACAAUUCAAAAACACCUGUUCUAUAAUGUUGCUGCUGAGUAUGCUCACAAUAAGGUUCCAUGAGUGAAUUCCAGUUUUGAACAUGCUUUCCAAACAUCUACUUUAAAAUGCUGAAUGCACCAGAUCCCUUCUGAUCUUGGAAUCUAAGCAAGGUCAGCUCAGGUUAGUACUUGGAUGAGAGACUGCCUGUGAAUGCCAGGUGCUGUAGGCUACAUUUUAAAGGCGGGAACUGGCAAAACCACCUCAGAGUAAUCCUUGCCUAAGAAAACCCUAUGAAAUGCAUGGGUUGCUUUAAGUCAACAGGUGGUUUGAAUGUACAUACGCUUUGCAAGGCUAAAUCCCAGCAUACUGUUCUCAGUCCCUUCCUCCUUAUAUAGUUCACUGUAAUCAUUGUGUUAAAGUGUGUUAAAUCACUGAGCUGCUGAACUUGCAGACUGAAAGGUCCCAGGUUCAAAUCCCGGGAGCAGAGUGAGCGCCCACUAUUAGCUCCAGCUUUUGCCAACCUAGCAGUUCGAAAACAUGCCAAUGUGAGUAGAUCAAUAGGUACCACUCCGGUGGGAAGGUAACGGCUCUCCAUGCAGUCAUGCCGGCCACAUGACCUUGGAGGUGUCUAUGGACAAUGCCGGCUCUUCGGCUUAGAAAUUGAGAUGAGCACCAACCCCCAGAGUCAGACAUGACUGGACUUAACGUCAGGGAAAACCUUUACCUUUACUAAUCAUUUUAAAAUGUCUGAUGAAAAUCCUUAUUCCUCCAUUGCAUGUUUGUGAGAUAAAGGCAGACCUAAGGAAUAGUUCAUAUUCCUGAAUCACUGAGUCAAAACUGGAGGAUUCUAUGAUAUUGCUCAAAAAGGAAUAGGUCCCAGUAGUUGAGGCACCGUGGCUCAAUUCACCAAUCAGUUGAUAUUACCCCCAAUGCAGUUCACACACACACAUAUACACCAAAGAAUUACCAAGAGCAGAGGCCUCUUUAGAAGGGGGAGGCAAGGCAGAAGUGGAGAAAGGAAAGUGGUCAGUCUUUCCCUCUGACUGGGCACAAGCACGAAGGCGGCAAAGCAAGAGAUGUUUUCUUUGGCCCGGUUGAAGAUGAGGGCGCCCCAGCUGUGUAACCUGCUUGGGUGAAAAACAUCACCCCAGCGCAGAAUGAGGCAGGUUAAAACAAAUCAACGCAGGGGUGACGCAAAAGAGGAUCAAG